rnacentral:rRNA from 1 species
AUGUACGAUAAUGUUGUGACAAGUGUUCGAACAAGUGAUGUCGACACUGAUGACUUCCCGAUUAAGAUAGGACUGCAUCAGGGGUCAGCUUUGAGCCCUUAUCUUUUUGCAUUGGUGAUUGAUGAGGUCACAAGGGAUAUACAAGGAGAUAUCCCAUGGUGUAUGCUCUUUGCAGAUGAUGUGGUGCUAGUUGACGAGAGUCGGACGGGGGUGAAUAGGAAGUUAGAGUUAUGGAGACAAACCUUGGAAUCAAAAGGGUUUAGGCUUAGUAGAACUAAAACCGAGUACAUGAUGUGCGGUUUCAGUACUACUAGGUGUGAGGAGGAGGAGGUUAGCCUUGAUGGCCAGGUGGUUCCCCAGAAGGACACCUUUCGGUAUUUGGGGUCAAUGCUGCAGGGGGAUGGGGGUAUUGAUGAAGAUGUGAACCAUCGAAUCAAAGUCGGAUGGAUGAAGUGGAGCCAAGCUUCUGGCAUUCUCUGUGACAAGAGAGUGCCACAAAAGCUAAAAGGCAAGUUCUACAGGACGUCGGUUCGACUCACAAUGUUGUAUGGCGCUGAGUGUUGGCCGACUAAAAGGCGACAUGUUCAACAGUUAGGUGUGGCGGAGAUGCGUAUGUUGAGAUGGAUGUGGGGCCACACGAGGAAGGAUCGAGUCUGGAAUGAUGAUAUACGAGAUAGAGUUGGGGUAGCACCAAUUGAAGAGAAGCUUGUCCAACAUCGUCUGAGGUGUUUUGGGCAUAUUCAGCGCAGGCCUCCAGAAGCUCCAAUGCAUAGCGGACGGCUAAAGCGUGCGGAGAAUGUCAAGAGAGGGCGGGGUAGACCGAAUUUGACAUGGGAGGAGUCCGUUAAGAGAGACCUGAAGGAUUAG